UACGUAGGGUGCAAGCGUUAAUCGGAAUUACUGGGCGUAAAGAGCGCGCAGGCGGUCGAUCAAGUCGAGUGUGAAAGCCCCCGGCUCAACCGUGGAGGGUCAUUGGAAACUGGGGGACUUGAGUACAGAAGAGAAGAGUGGAAUUCCACGUGUAGCGGUGAAAUGCGUAGAGAUGUGGAGGAACACCAGUGGCGAAGGCGACUCUUUGGUCUGUAACUGACGCUGAGGCGCGAAAGCGUGGGGAGCAAACAGG
rnacentral:rRNA from 1 species